CGUGGUCCUCAAAUACAAACAGUAAUAAAGGCUUCCCUCGGACCAGGAGAGUUACAGACCGUCCGACCGACUGACUGUUCAGGGAAUUGUGGCGGUGGCGGCGGAGUCAAAAGAGACUUAUUUCUCCAGACAUGAAAGGUUCCUGAGAUCAAGCACCAUGAAAAUGAAAAGCACUCUGUCCUGUAAAUUCAGGUCUGACAGGAAGCAGGUGUCUCAAUUAGAACAGCAUCAAGGACUGCGCUUAAGAAGUGUUUUAUAGCCUGAACAGUAUGGGCAGAGUCAAAAAUAGCCCACC